UACGUAGGGUGCAAGCGUUGUUCGGAUUUACUGGGCGUAAAGGGCGCGUAGGCGGCCUUCUAAGUCAGACGUGAAAUCCCUCGGCUCAACCGGGGAACUGCGUCUGAGACUGGAAGGCUUGAAUCCGGGAGAGGGAUGUGGAAUUCCAGGUGUAGCGGUGAAAUGCGUAGAUAUCUGGAGGAACACCGGUGGCGAAGGCGGCAUCCUGGACCGGUAUUGACGCUG
rnacentral:rRNA from 1 species